GGUUCGAUAGUCUAAUGGAUAUGAUUUCCGCUUUGGGUGCGGAGGGUUCCGGGUUCGAAUCCCGGUCGGACCC
rfam:Ordospora colligata OC4 contig_04, whole genome shotgun sequence.